AACUGGCAUUUCGACUGCUUGUGCUUGUGGCAGGAGGACUUUUUGUUUUGGGGUGUCUACCAUUCUGUUGCUGUGCCUGUUUGCAGAGAAGCCGAUGUGUUAAUCCUUUACGGAAGGCCAGCAACAAAGUAAAGCAAACUGUGUUGAAGGAAAGAGCACAUAAUGAAGACAUCUAUAUCCCUUUACUGGAGUGACCAGAAGAAUGAAAGAAAGUGUAGAGGAUCAUCUACUUCAUCAAGCUGAAGGACACGAAGAUUACUUGUGUAUGGUCUAGAAAAUUAGAUGUGGUUUUGUUUAGUAUCAUAGUAAUGCAAUAUUGUUGGCCUUUGAUAAUGCUGUUUAUUUUGCAAUAGAAGGUCUUUAUUUCUAGUUUCCUAUGUUCAUUCCACAUUUUCUGUAUGGAAAUCCUAAUAACCCUGAGAGGCAAAACUGCUUGUGGCAACUCCUCAAUAAUAAAAACAGUUUUCUCUU